rnacentral:misc_RNA from 1 species
CUUGAAGCGCCUUAGGCAACAAAAAGAGGGUCAGGAUGGGGUUGAUUUAGAGAUGAACCUUAAUGGUAGUAGAUCUAGCAUAGAUGACGAAACUUUGGAUGACAUGGUGUUUACUGAGCGUCAAAUGGCCAAGCUGAAAAAGAGUGAGGCAUUCACAGCAGAAAGAGAAAGAGAGAUCCAGCAGGUUGUGGAAUCAGUAAAUGAGCUUGCUCAAAUUAUGAAGGACUUGUCAGUGCUUGUAAUAGACCAGGGUACCAUUGUUGAUAGGAUAGAUUACAACAUUCAGAAUGUUGCAACUACAGUUGAGGAGGGUCUUAAACAGUUGCAAAAGGCUGAGAGAACACAAAAACAAGGAGGGAUGGUGAUGUGUGCAACGGUGCUUGUUAUCAUGUGCUUUAUCAUGUUGGUCCUACUAAUCCUCAAGGAGAUAUUCUUGUGAUUUGUUAGAAAUUUCCAAAAUUCGCUCAUUCUUAUCUUGUGCCAUCCCCUGCAACUUUUACACGCUCAUUGAUGGAGAUUUGUCUUGUGUGGCAGAGGAAUGCUAGAGCUUUAAAAUUGCCCCAUUUCAUACCAGAUUAAUCAACUUCCAACUUUUCUUUUUAAUCAAAAUUUCUUAACGGGGAAAGGGCCUUUACUAGGGAAUGAAUGCCCUGGAAAGUGUAUAGAGCUGAUACUGGAUCUGGUUCUUUUGUCGCAGACCCAUCAUUGAUUCUUUUGAUUUUCCUGGGGAGUCUGGUGUCUUGUUUUCACCAAUGCUUCUGUUUACAAGGAAAUGAGGCUUUUUUGAUUGAUUGUAUCGAUUUUUAAAUUAGAUAUAAAAAUGAAAUGCUUCCGAGUAUACUUUUCUCUA